GAUGGGACUGCGGCCUAUCAGGCUGUUGGUGGUGUAACGGACCACCAAACCUACGACGGGUAUGGGCAAUGGGAGUUGGAGCCCAGAGAUGGGGACUGAGACAAGGCCCCAGGCCCUACGGGGCGCAGCAGGCGCGAAAACUUCGCAAUGCGCGAAAGCGUGACGAGGGAACCCCAAGUGCCGUUGGUCUUUUGAUCGACGGCUUUUCGGGAGUCUAAGAAGCUUCCAGAAUAAGGGCUGGGCAAGACUGGUGCCAGCCGCCGCGGUAAUACCAGCAGCCCAAGUGGUGGUCGCGUUUAUUGGGCCUAAAGCGCUCGUAGCCGGGCUUGCAAGUCCCUUGUGAAAUCGGACGGCUCAACCGUUCGGCGUGCAAGGGAUACUGCCAGUCUUGGGAUCGGGAGAGGUCGGGGGUACUUCGGGGGUAGCGGUGAAAUGCUGUAAUCCCUGGAGGACCACCAGUGGCGAAGGCGCCCGACCAUAACGGAUCCGACGGUGAGGGGCGAAGGCUAGGG
rnacentral:rRNA from 1 species